rnacentral:tRNA from 1 species
GUAGUCGUGGCCGAGUGGUUAAGGCGACAGACUAGAAAUCUGUUGGGAUUAUCCCGCGCAGGUUCAAAUUCUGCCGACUACG